rnacentral:rRNA from 1 species
GGGUUGUGAGGUUAAGCGACUAAGCGUACACGGUGGAUGCCCUGGCAGUCAGAGGCGAUGAAGGACGUGCUAAUCUGCGAAAAGCGUCGGUAAGGUGAUAUGAACCGUUAUAACCGGCGAUGUCCGAAUGGGGAAACCCAGUGCAAUUCGUUGCACUAUCGUUAACUGAAUACAUAGGUUAACGAGGCGAACCGGGGGAACUGAAACAUCUAAGUACCCCGAGGAAAAGAAAUCAACCGAGAUUCCCCCAGUAGCGGCGAGCGAACGGGGAGCAGCCCAGAGUCUGAAUCAGCUUGUGUGUUAGUGGAACGGUCUGGAAAGUCCGACGGUACAGGGUGAUAGUCCCGUACACCAAAAUGCACAGGCUGUGAACUCGAAGAGUAGGGCGGGACACGUGGUAUCCUGUCUGAAUAUGGGGGACCAUCCUCCAAGGCUAAAUACUCCUGACUGACCGAUAGUGAACCAGUACCGUGAGGGAAAGGCGAAAAGAACCCCGGCGAGGGGAGUGAAAAAGAACCUGAAACCGUGUACGUACAAGCAGUGGGAGCACCUUCGGGUGUGACUGCGUACCUUUUGUAUAAUGGGUCAGCGACUUAUAUUCUGUAGCAAGGUUAACCGUAUAGGGGAGCCGCAGGGAAACCGAGUCUUAACUGGGCGUUAAGUUGCAGGGUAUAGACCCGAAACCCGGUGAUCUAGCCAUGGGCAGGUUGAAGGUUGGGUAACACUAACUGGAGGACCGAACCGACUAAUGUUGAAAAAUUAGCGGAUGACUUGUGGCUGGGGGUGAAAGGCCAAUCAAACCGGGAGAUAGCUGGUUCUCCCCGAAAGCUAUUUAGGUAGCGCCUCGUGAACUCAUCUUCGGGGGUAGAGCACUGUUUCGGCUAGGGGGUCAUCCCGACUUACCAACCCGAUGCAAACUACGAAUACCGAAGAAUGUUAUCACGGGAGACACACGGCGGGUGCUAACGUCCGUCGUGAAGAGGGAAACAACCCAGACCGCCAGCUAAGGUCCCAAAGUCAUGGUUAAGUGGGAAACGAUGUGGGAAGGCACAGACAGCCAGGAUGUUGGCUUAGAAGCAGCCAUCAUUUAAAGAAAGCGUAAUAGCUCACUGGUCGAGUCGGCCUGCGCGGAAGAUGUAACGGGGCUAAACCAUGCACCGAAGCUGCGGCAGCGACACUAUGUGUUGUUGGGUAGGGGAGCGUUCUGUAAGCCUGCGAAGGUGUGCUGUGAGGCAUGCUGGAGGUAUCAGAAGUGCGAAUGCUGACAUAAGUAACGAUAAAGCGGGUGAAAAGCCCGCUCGCCGGAAGACCAAGGGUUCCUGUCCAACGUUAAUCGGGGCAGGGUGAGUCGACCCCUAAGGCGAGGCCGAAAGGCGUAGUCGAUGGGAAACAGGUUAAUAUUCCUGUACUUGGUGUUACUGCGAAGGGGGGACGGAGAAGGCUAUGUUAGCCGGGCGACGGUUGUCCCGGUUUAAGCAUGUAGGCUGAUUGUCCAGGCAAAUCCGGAUAAUCAAGGCUGAGGUGUGAUGACGAGGCACUACGGUGCUGAAGUAACAAAUGCCCUGCUUCCAGGAAAAGCCUCUAAGCAUCAGGUAACAUUAAAUCGUACCCCAAACCGACACAGGUGGUCAGGUAGAGAAUACCAAGGCGCUUGAGAGAACUCGGGUGAAGGAACUAGGCAAAAUGGUGCCGUAACUUCGGGAGAAGGCACGCUGGUGUGUAGGUGAAGUCCCUGCGGAUGGAGCUGAGACCAGUCGAAGAUACCAGCUGGCUGCAACUGUUUAUUAAAAACACAGCACUGUGCAAACACGAAAGUGGACGUAUACGGUGUGACGCCUGCCCGGUGCCGGAAGGUUAAUUGAUGGGGUUAUCCGUAAGGAGAAGCUCUUGAUCGAAGCCCCGGUAAACGGCGGCCGUAACUAUAACGGUCCUAAGGUAGCGAAAUUCCUUGUCGGGUAAGUUCCGACCUGCACGAAUGGCGUAAUGAUGGCCAGGCUGUCUCCACCCGAGACUCAGUGAAAUUGAACUCGCUGUGAAGAUGCAGUGUACCCGCGGCAAGACGGAAAGACCCCGUGAACCUUUACUAUAGCUUGACACUGAACAUUGAGCCUUGAUGUGUAGGAUAGGUGGGAGGCUUUGAAGCGUGGACGCCAGUCUGCGUGGAGCCAACCUUGAAAUACCACCCUUUAAUGUUUGAUGUUCUAACGUUGGCCCCUGACCGGGGUUGCGGACAGUGUCUGGUGGGUAGUUUGACUGGGGCGGUCUCCUCCCAAAGCGUAACGGAGGAGCACGAAGGUUAGCUAAUCCUGGUCGGACAUCAGGAGGUUAGUGCAAUGGCAUAAGCUAGCUUGACUGCGAGCGUGACGGCGCGAGCAGGUGCGAAAGCAGGUCAUAGUGAUCCGGUGGUUCUGAAUGGAAGGGCCAUCGCUCAACGGAUAAAAGGUACUCCGGGGAUAACAGGCUGAUACCGCCCAAGAGUUCAUAUCGACGGCGGUGUUUGGCACCUCGAUGUCGGCUCAUCACAUCCUGGGGCUGAAGUAGGUCCCAAGGGUAUGGCUGUUCGCCAUUUAAAGUGGUACGCGAGCUGGGUUUAGAACGUCGUGAGACAGUUCGGUCCCUAUCUGCCGUGGGCGCUGGAGAAUUGAGGGGGGCUGCUCCUAGUACGAGAGGACCGGAGUGGACGCAUCACUGGUGUUCGGGUUGUCAUGCCAAUGGCACUGCCCGGUAGCUAAAUGCGGAAGAGAUAAGUGCUGAAAGCAUCUAAGCACGAAACUUGCCCCGAGAUGAGUUCUCCCUGAGACUUUAAGUCUCCUGAAGGAACGUUAAAGACGAUGACGUUGAUAGGCCGGGUGUGUAAGCGCAGCGAUGCGUUGAGCUAACCGGUACUAAUGAACCGUGAGGCUUAACCUUACAACGCCGAAG